AUUGAACGCUGGCGGCAGGCCUAACACAUGCAAGUCGAGCGGAGCGGCGGACGGGUGAGGAAGGCCUAGGAAUCUGACUGGGCGUGAGGGAUAACGUCCGGAAAUGGGCACUAAUACCGCAUACUAUCAGAAUAGCCUAGGUCGGAUUAGCGAGUUGGUGGGGUAAAGGCAUAGCAAGGCGACGAUCCCUAACUGGUCUGAGAGGAUGAUCAGUCACACUGGAACUGAGACACGGUCCAGACUCCUACGGGAGGCAGCAGUGGGGAAUAUUGGACAAUGGGCGAAAGCCUGAUCCAGCCAUGCCGCGUGUGUGAAGAAGGUCUUCGGAUUGUAAAGCACUUUAAGUUGGGAGGCGUUACCAACAGAAGAAGCACCGGCUAACUUCGUGCCAGCAGCCGCGGUAAUAC
rnacentral:rRNA from 1 species